UGUCCAAGGAUGGGAAUCGAACCCACAGUGUUCCGCUUACCGGGCAGAUGCCAUGUCCACUAUCCCUGGAC
rnacentral:tRNA from 1 species